rnacentral:rRNA from 1 species
UACGUAGGGUGCGAGCGUUGUCCGGAAUUAUUGGGCGUAAAGGGCUCGUAGGCGGUUUUGUCGCGUCGGGGAGUGAAAACACCGGGCUUAACUCGGUGCUGGCUUUCGAUACGGGCAGACUAGAGGUAUUCAGGGGAGAACGGAAUUCCUGGUGUAGCGGUGAAAUGCGUUGAGAUCGGAAGGAACGCCCGUGGCGAAAGCGAGGUCCUGGACGUUUACUGACGCUGAGACGCGAAAGCGUGGGGAGCAAACAGG